AGUAACACGUGGAUAACCUACCUAUAAGACUGGGAUAACUUCGGGAAACCGGAGCUAAUACCGGAUAAUAUUUUGAACCGCAUGGUUCAAAAGUGAAAGACGGUCUUGCUGUCACUUAUAGAUGGAUCCGCGCUGCAUUAGCUAGUUGGUAAGGUAACGGCUUACCAAGGCAACGAUGCAUAGCCGACCUGAGAGGGUGAUCGGCCACACUGGAACUGAGACACGGUCAAG
rnacentral:rRNA from 1 species